GCCGAUUCAUGAUUUAAACACGCAAAAUGUCUGGUUUGCAUAUUUGUGCCUAGCCCUGUUACCAGCAGUGUAUUUUUUGCCGUAAGAAAGACAACAAUGCUUUAUUUCUUUGACUUUUUGACCGUGUCUAAUUUCUGGUAAAAGAGAGGAAUUUCAGAGAGAUAGACAACCUGAAGAGCUUUGAAUGGUUGUUCGAGUGUGCCACGCUGCUGUUGCGUAGCUGGCACCGGUGUGUCGCUACUGCCGAGAUAAGCGCAGUUUACUCCAGGUUUGGUGAUGGUGUUGAACAACACCUUAACUGGGCCAAGGAAUUUAGUAGCAUUGUGGGAUCAUAAACCAGUUUUUCUGUUCUCUGUGCUCACAUAGUAAGAACAUGCUUGCAAGUUCUUUUCCUUAGGUGUAAUUUCUUUUGCUGAGAUAGAUUAAGCCUGGGUCGAGGUGGCUGUUGUGUGCCGGUUGCCAGUACUUGUUUGUUGUAAUGUCUUACCCAGUGAGAUUUCUUUUAUUCUUGCCUAUUUUCAGAGGUUCUGCUUGAAGAUUCUCUAAUCACUUUCUUUGGAACUUUUUGCUGAGAUAUGCUUCCAGGUUACUUCAAUGUUACCAGACUUAAAAUGUACUAUCUAGCAUACUAGCACGUGUGUAUAUGAUGCCUCCUUUUAUCCUUGAAUGUAAGACACAUGGUGUUUUGUUCCAUUGUUAUGCUUAACGGAAGUGAUGUUCUGUUAUCAUAUUCAAAACUAUAGCUCUUUGUUUGCAGUAUCUCGGAGGGAGCAAUAUUUUGAUACUUGCUUUAUAGGAAUUCUCUUUCUUUGCCUAGAAUUUGUGAUUUAUGGCUGAUGUCAAUUCCACCUUUGUAGGUGUUUCUCAAUUAUUACUAAUGUUGAAACUGCAGAGGAGCAGGAGAUGAGGAGGGCCCCACUUGGUGUACAAUGGUGAAUGAUGCGGCAGUUAGACCGGGAGAUGAGGAGCGCGGCACUGGGUGUACGAAGGAUUAGUAGGAAGAAUGUUAAUCACAGUGGGUGAAAAGGUAUACGAAAAUGCGAGCUCGGCUGAUUGCAUACUAUUUGGUUGAGUUGUUUUGUCCUAAAGAUACAACCAAGCUGAAGAUUUCUUUUGUAUGGAAAUUCACCAUGGGAAUCGAAAUAAUGGUACUCUACACAGCCUUACUUUCUUGCAUCGAUUCUUCAUUCUACAAGUCACACCUUUUCUAUUUGGUAAAAGAAGAGUGAGCUCAUGCUUGAACUUCCACUAUAUAUGUUAACACUUGGAUACUGUAUCAAUCCAGUAAUCAUCUGAUCCUUCAUUGUUUU